GUAGUUAGCCGGGGCUUUCUAAUGGGGUACCGUCACUUCCUUCGUCCCCCACAACAGAGGUUUACAAUCCGAAAACCUUCUUCCCUCACGCGGCGUUGCUGGGUCAGGCUUUCGCCCAUUGCCCAAUAUUCCCCACUGCUGCCUCCCGUAGGAGUCUGGACCGUGUCUCAGUUCCAGUGUGGCCGUUCAGCCUCUCAGCUCGGCUACCCAUCGUCGGCUUGGUGGGCUGUUAUCUCACCAACUACCUAAUGGGACGCGAACCCCUCCUUUAGCGGAUUGCUCCUUUGACCCCUUCGCCAUGUGGCAUUGUGGUCUUAUGCGGUAUUAGCAUCCGUUUCCGGAUGUUAUCCCCCUCUUUAAGGCAGGUUACUCACGCGUUACUCACCCGUCCGCCACUAAGUAUUAAAAGCAAGCUCUCAAUACUCCGUUCGACUUGCAUGUGUUAGGCACGCCGCCAGCGUUCAUCCUGAGCCAUAAUCAAACUCUGA
rnacentral:rRNA from 1 species